rnacentral:lncRNA from 1 species
UGUUUAUAAAUGCCUCCUAUUGUGUGAUGACUAAUAGUCCAGGUAGUGGCGUCCAGCUGAGUUCUAACAGUUUGUCUGCACUCUUCCCCAGGCUUAGGUCUGUGGGCUGCAGGGGGCCAGCACUGACUGACAGAGGUCCUGCCGUGAGAGGCGGAGAGCUCCUCAUGGGCCUCAGCAUGCAGCCCCUUUCCCAGGCCCGCCUUGAGGCCUCCGGCCGCUCUGCAGGAGGGUCCCGCUCUGCUCUCAGACCUCAUCCACAGACCUGUGGGGCAGGUGAGUCUGAACCACACCAAGACCCAACCUUUAAUUUAACCUGUCCCACAUCUAUAUGCAUUGUCUCUCAGGAAGGACCAAUUAUGACCUUUAUAUCUAUCUAGCUAGCUAGAUGGAUGUCUAUCUAUCUAUCUGGCUCUCUACGUAUAUACUUGCAUACAUACUACAUAGGCAGACAGGCCUAUUAUGUACAAUUCUUUUUAUCAGACAGACAGACACGCACACACGCACACAUUUGUUUUGCUAUAUUAGUAAGGGCUUAUCAUAGACUUCCUCUGUUUUAUGUCAGGUUACUGAACAUUACCCACACAGAAACCUGUGCAAAACACUACAUUUAAAUAAAAGCUUUAUUUAUAAGAGAGAUAUUGAACAUCUACCAAAAUAUUAAUGAAAAAAAAAUUGUUAACUUCAAGAAACUGCACAAAACUAUUUUAAUUUCACAUUAUAUGCUGAUGGGAUGGGGUCAUGGUUCAUCAAAAGUCAAUGUUGCCUCUUCACAUGGUAGAUAAAUUGUACAGUCUUAUGGCACAGAAAUGGAACACACAUCACUAGAUAUUAGGACAGCCCAUACUAAGAUAUAGCUUUGUUUCAUCCAUGUGUCUAGAUCAGUUAUGUCUUUUAAUGAAAUGUAUUUUGUCCAUAAUUAAACAAAGCAUCUUAAUUUGUUCAUAUGGAAUGGGUGUAUUUAAAUGUUAUGUAAUGGUUUAUUAAAAGUUAUUUUGAAAAGCACCCUCGAAAGAUGGGAUGAAUGUGUGUUGGUUGGAAUUUGCAUUAUUAUUUUUAUCUCACGAUUAGCUUCACUGUUAGUAAUUAUAGGGGAUUAUAUGUAACCAUAGGGGUGUUUCUUGAGCUCCAUCUCAUGUUUCAGUGGAAACUGAAGAUCCAUGUCGGAUCUAGUUGUUGACAAAGUAGUUUUAUUAAUUUUUAAUACAGAAAAUUCAAGUUUCUUGAUUGAUUCAAGGUCCUUGAUUGUAGGUUUGAAUGUUUUAUCAGAUUAAACAGCUGGAUGAUUGAAUUGCUCAUUAACGGCGGUGGUCCACACCUCUCUGGACACGGGACCGGGUGGUGCGUUUGUCUUCUGUAGAAUCUUCUCAGACAGGGUUAGACAUGGGCUGGGUCCUCUCAGCUCCACAGGGGGUUAUGGUCUGGGCAAGCCUGGGCACACUAUACUCAGCUCUGAAGGUAUAUGAGAGCCACGCCAAAAAUUUACAGAGGCAGCCUGUUAUUUACUUCAUUCCUUGAGAACUUCACUUCCCGCAGGAGAGCAGCGUGAAAUAAGAUUUUUGCUGCAGGCUGUUAAAGUUGAUGUUUAAGGACACUGAUCAGUCUCCAAAAUUUGUUUCAUGUAGUUGCAAGGUAUGUUAUGUUCUGGAAAUCAAACCAUCAUUGUCUGUCCUUCAUGUUUACUGCAACACCACAAUUUCCACUAUGACAUGUUGUCUUUGUUUUUUGGAUCAUAAACAUUUUACCAGAAACCAGUUAUGUUACAACAUGGCGUGUAUAUGUGUAUGUUUAUUAUUUAAGUUGUAUGUAAUUGAAUUACAUUGUGUUUAAAUCAUCAAAUUAUUUUAAGAGCAGGAUUAGUUUGUUUAUGAAUGACUUGCGCAAGAUGUUUAAAGUGCCUCUAUUAUGCCAUUUCCAAUACUGCUUUUCAUGCAGUGUUUAAUGUAGCUGUAUGUGAAUGUAAAUGUUCAGCAAAGUUGAAAAGCCAAAAGUGCACGAUAAAUAAAGUUAUUGUCUCCCAAAAUAAAGAAUCGUCUUUCUACAGCCUUAACAAGUCGUUAGUAAUUCGUAUCCCAUUCCGUGACGGCUACACGUCACAAGAUAACACAUUUGCAUAAUUCCCAGCUAUGUUCUAUGUUGGCCGGCAGCGAACAACUUGACCCACAAACAUGUAAUUUUACUGACGACUGCUUCUCUAAUCUCGGGGAGUUAAAAAAAUUUAAUUAAAAAUCUCAAGGAGUUUAACGUGGGAUUCACUAAACACUUGCUCUUGAAAGAUGGCUCAGUACCCUGUUUAUUUGGACCAGCUGGCUCCACUAAAUCACAAGUAUAAUAAAUUAUAGAUGUUUAUAUUUUCUAUCGAGCAUUCAAAAUACGGAACUAUGGCAAUGGGUGUAUCGUUUCAGACACGCGCUGUACACAGGUAAAACAAUCACAACAGACUGGGCCAUCUGACCAAUCAGAGCAGAGCAGACUUAUGGAAAGGAG